rnacentral:ncRNA from 2 species
UUUGACUGGGGCGGUCGCCUCCUAAAAGGGAACGGAGGCGCCCAAAGGUUCCCUCAGAACUCAGAAUGGUUGGAAAUCAUUCGCAGAGUGUAAAGGCACAAGGGAGCUUGACUGCGAGACCUACAAGUCGAGAGCAGGGACGAAAGUCGGGCUUAGUGAUCCGGUGGUUCCGCAUGGAAGGGCCAUCGCUCAACGGAUAAAAGCUACCCCGGGGAUAACAGGCUUAUCUCCCCCAAAGAGUUCACAUCGCGACGGGGAGGUUUGGCACCUCGAUGUCGGCUCAUCGCAUCCUGGGGCUGUAGUCGGUCCCAAGGGUUGGGCUGUUCGCUCGCCCAUUAAAGCGGUACGCGAGCUGGGUUCAGAACGUCGUGAGACAGUUCGGUCCCUAUCCGUCGCGGGCGCAGGAAAUUUGAGAGGAGCUGUCCUUAGUACGAGAGGACCGGGAUGGACGCACCGCUGGUGUUGGUGUACCAGUUGUCUCGCCAGAGGCACAUAGCUGGGUAGCUAUGUGCGGAAGAGGGAUAAGUGCUGAAAGCAUCUAAGCAUGAAGCCCCCCUCAAGAUGAGAUUUCCCUGGCUUUAUAGCCUAAGACCCCUGAAAGAUGAUCAGGUUGAUAGGUCCGAGGUAGAAGUGUGGUGACACAUGCA